AGCAGCCGCGGUAAUUCCAGCUCCAAUAGCGUAUAUUAAAGUUGUUGCAGUUAAAAAGCUCGUAGUUGAAUUUCGGGAUUAGUACGUUGGUCGUGCCUUCGGUACGUACUGGUGUUACUGAUUCCUACCUUCUGACGAACCAUCAUGUCAUUAAUUUGGUGUGGCGGGGAAUCAGGACUGUUACUUUGAAAAAAUUAGAGUGUUUAAAGCAAGCAUUAGCUUGAAUACAUUAGCAUGGAAUAAUGAAAUAGGACGUUUGAUCCUAUUUCGUUGGUUACUAGGAUCGACGUAAUGAUUAAUAGGGAUAGUUGGGGGCAUUAGUAUUCAAUUGUCAGAGGUGAAAUUCUUGGAUUUAUUGAAGACUAACUACUGCGAAAGCAUUUGCCAAGGAUGUUUUCAUUAAUCAAGAACGAAAGUUAGGGGAUCGAAGACGAUCAGAUACCGUCGUAGUCUUAACCAUAAACUAUGCCGACUAGGGAUCGGAUGAUGUUAAUUUUUUAAUGACUCA
rnacentral:rRNA from 1 species